rnacentral:rRNA from 1 species
AUGAUUAAAAUUGAUCUUGCCAAGGCCUUUGAUCGUUUAGAAUGAAAUUUCGUUGUCUCGGCUCUUGCACGAAAAGGGUUGCAUGGUCAUUUCAUUAACCUAGUAUAUGCUUGCAUCUCUUCGCCCACCUUUUCUGUUAUUAUUAAUGGCCAAUCAUAUGCUAAGUUUAGGAAAUGCAGGGGCAUCAGGCAAGGUUGUCCACUAUCUCCCUAUCUUUUCCUUGUUGCCAUAAAUGAGUUGUCCAUUUCUUUGCAAGAAGCAAUGAUCUCUAACCGACUCACUGGAAUUUCAGUUGGCACAAAUUGCCCUCCCAUCCACUCACUCAUGUUUGCAGAUGAUCUACUAGUUUCUGGCCAAGCUUCCAUACAAGAGGGAACGACAAUGAGCCAACUCAUUCAAGCUUUCUGCAAAGAAUCAGGCCAGACACCAAACUGGCAUAAAUCCGGAAUUAUUUUCAGCAAAGGUGUGGAGAAUAACAUUAAGCAAGCCAUCAAAAACAUAUUUCCUGUUCCAGAUAUAGAUCACCACACUAUUCAUUUGGGGCAUCCCCUUAUUCUCCCGGCCAAGGACAGAUCCACAACUUAUAAUUUUGUCAUUGAUAAAUUUAAAGCCAAGCUCCCUGGUUACAAAGCCAAUAAACUCUCUGAUGUAGCAAGACUCACCCUAAUUUAG